CAGAGGACCCCUAAACUCUGUUUCUAUAUGUAACUUCUGAGUAAAACCACCCCCCCAUCAAAACUUUCAACAACGGAUCUCUUGGUUCUGGCAUCGAUGAAGAACGCAGCAAAAUGCGAUAAGUAAUGUGAAUUGCAGAAUUCAGUGAAUCAUCGAAUCUUUGAACGCACAUUGCGCCUGCCAGUAUUCUGGCGGGCAUGCCUGUUCGAGCGUCAUUUCAACCCUCAAGCACAGCUUGGUGUUGGGACUCGCGUUAAUUCGCGUUCCCCAAAUUGAUUGGCGGUCACGUCGAGCUUCCAUAGCGUAGUAGUAAAACCCUCGUUACUGGUAAUCGUCGCGGCCACGCCGUUAAACCCCAACUUCUGAAUGUUGACCUCGGAUCAGGUAGGAAUACCCGCUGAACUUAAGCAUAUCAAUAAGCGGAGGAA
rnacentral:rRNA from 1 species